ACGAGGAAAGUGAAAUUUAGGGUUUUUGUUCACCAUCGGAGAACUGCUAAUCGGUAGUUCUUUAGGAAAUGAUUUCUGUCAUCAAUUUUGGGAUUUUUUCCGUUUUCUUGUGCUCAUUCUGAAAUCACGAGAGUUAAGUGGAUUCGGUGAAGGAUUUAGAGCUUGAGAUCGAUACUAUCGUCGAUGGGUUUGAGUGAAGAUCCAUUAAAGGACUAUACCAGCACCAAGGCCACCGUUCAGGGCAGGUGGUGGAUCUGCUUCUUCGAAUGGUGGAACAGUUGUCAUACCUCACCCAGUUGUGCCACCAACUAUGAGCAGGAAGGAACAAGUUGCAGCACAAGCAGCAGUGCACAACUAUGCCUUGACGCAUCGUGGGUUGCCAGGUUUUGGAAGGAAACCAACUAGACCUUUGCAUGAAGUAUUCAAGCCACAACAACCAACGAAGAAGAAUAAAGAUACGAAUAACAUCUAGGAAACUCUAUGGUUAAUACACACUAUAAAUUUUGGUAUCGUUUGUCUUUUUACGUUGAUCAUACAACCUCUGAAACAAUUAAACAGUUGCUUGCUGGUAUCUUCGAAACAAUUUAACUUAAUUUAUUAUUCUAUA